AACGAACGCUGGCGGCAGGCUUAACACAUGCAAGUCGAGCGCAUCCUUCGGGGUGAGCGGCGGACGGGUGAGUAACGCGUGGGAACGUGCCCUCUUCUACGGAAUAGCCUCGGGAAACUGAGAGUAAUGCCGUAUACGCCCGCAAGGGGAAAGAUUUAUCGGAGGAGGAUCGGCCCGCGUUGGAUUAGGUAGUUGGUGGGGUAACGGCCUACCAAGCCGACGAUCCAUAGCUGGUUUGAGAGGAUGAUCAGCCACACUGGGACUGAGACACGGCCCAGACUCCUACGGGAGGCAGCAGUGGGGAAUCUUGGACAAUGGGGGCAACCCUGAUCCAGCCAUGCCGCGUGAUCGAUGAAGGCCUUAGGGUUGUAAAGAUCUUUCAGCUGGGAAGAUAAUGACGGUACCAGCAGAAGAAGCCCCGGCUAACUCCAUG
rnacentral:rRNA from 1 species